AUUACCAUAUGAGAGUCAUACGAGAAUUGGAGCAAAUAGGUAUACUUGUUUCUUUCUUGUUGCUGGUUUAAAUUUGGCAACGCAUUUGGAAAUUUUUGCUUCGCAUGCCAAAUCAUCUUUGUAUGAGAAUUAUACCUUCUUUUUUCUUUUUUCUUUUUUAUGGCUAUGAGAAUUAGCUUUGAUAGAAGAGAUGAGCAUAUACGAGUAAAAUGGAGAAAAAAGUGAAACGCACCAGUGAUUCACCCUCGGUUCACGGUCACGACUUCGGAUUGAAAGCGACUUCCCACAGUAGUGUGACGAAUCGUGUGGUUCAGAAUUAACCUCGUGGGCGGCUACCCGACCAACCCAUGCUUAUAAGGAAAGAUGAUUGGAUGACAGCAGUUCUCUCCAUUAUUACACCAGUAGCUUCGAACAACACAGAGCAAAAGGACCCCUUUAUCUGGCACUUGGGCAAUAUACAAAUCUGACAGCAGAAUUGAGCUGUUGUGGAUUACUCACAUCCCACUAGAUAUAUCUAAACAGAUACAGACAAAUUUGCAUAUUUUAUGUUCCUGUUGAGCUGAGCUAAGGAACUCGCUUUGUCAACAGUCCAUUAUGAGCUAUGAAAGAAAUCUUCUUUCUUUAGGGCUUUAAGACCGAGCCUCCACCAAGAAGCUGACUUAAUCCGAUCGUUCGAAGGUUUCCAAAUCUAUCAACUGCAAAAAUGAAAUUGCAACUUGGGAUAGUAUUCAUUUAGGAGGAUGGGAGUUAACUAACUAUUAUCAGAAAGUUCAAAUUAAAACAUCAAAAGGAGUCCAACAGGCCAUUCACAUAUCAAUACAGAACAUAUCCAAAAUAUCCACAAUUUAGAUUGCUUGCGAAAUCAAAUACGGAUAACGUUUUACAUGGGAAAAUACAGACAAUAAAUUUUAUGAGGUACUACAACAGAUGAAAGAAGAGUCUCUUCAGAUCCAACUCUACAAUUCAGAUUACACUCCAUCUGAAAAAGCUGGAGUAUUUUUGUUCUUUCAGAUGAAAAUACAUACCCCUUGCUCACAACUACCUCUUCUUCUUCGUCGUAAGGAAUACAGGAAAAAACAAAUAAAUAAUUCCCAGAAAGUGAUGGAAACAAUAUUGAGAGAGAGAAAGAACCAAAAAUAGGUUCAUUUCUCCAUUACACAUCCUUCCCAUCUUACCUCCUAUAAAAAACCUGAGAUGAGUUUUCCCUCCUACCGAAAGGUCUAAUCUGGCUGCAUCUUGUGUACUAUCUUACCUUCUCCUCUCUACUGCUAUCUUAUAUAUCAGACAUCAAUAAGAAUCAUGACAAAUAAAUAAAUCUUGUUACGUUACUCCUGGAGCAAACUGAGAAGUUGCUUAUGCCACCAUCUGCUCCUGCUCUAUGUACAACUGCUCCACCCACGGUGGGAGCGCCUCAUUAACCCCUCCACGCUUCUGAUCAGAACUAUAUAGCCCGGCCCCAACAGAGGAAACAUCCUUUACCAACGAA